UACGAAGGGGGCUAGCGUUGCUCGGAAUCACUGGGCGUAAAGCGCACGUAGGCGGAUUGCUAAGUCAGGGGUGAAAUCCUGGAGCUCAACUCCAGAACUGCCUUUGAUACUGGCAACCUUGAGUCCGGGAGAGGUGAGUGGAACUGCGAGUGUAGAGGUGAAAUUCGUAGAUAUUCGCAAGAACACCAGUGGCGAAGGCGGCUCACUGGCCCGGUACUGACGCUGAGACGCGAAAGCGUGGGGAGCGAACAGG
rnacentral:rRNA from 1 species